GGGAGGCCGCUUGGACUGAGGAGGCUGUGGGGCUUCGAGCCGCUCUGGGUUCUCAGAGGCUUCUGGAUGACUCUAGCAUCUUGGAGGGCAGUGACAAGCUGCAAAGCACUGUCAGGCGCCUCAGUGCUCCAGGCUGACUCCUGCACCCGGAAGGUUCUCCGCCCCUGAGAUCACUCACUGCUAAGGACGGGAGGAGCCUGCUCAGAAGACACGGUCUGCACUCCGCUGAGGGGUUGGAGGUGCAGGCCAAGCGGACACCACCUGGCAGAUGGGCAGCCCUGGCAUGGCAGGGCCUAGGGGGUCGCCCUUGGGAAGCCUCAAGCAAGAGCAGAUGCCAGCUAGGACAUGCCAGGGGUACACUGACACUCUUGGGCACACUGCAGAGUACAGCCUUUCCUGGUAUUACUCUCCUCACCACCAAGUUCCCUAGGGCCACAGAUGUCCUGGCCACGGGGGUUGAGGCAGACCAGAUGUCUGUUCCUGGCCAUGACGCUUCAUGCCAGAAGGAUGGAACAAGCACAGUCCUUUGCUGACAGAGCCCUGGAACCCUUGAUUUUGGAACUGAGAGGGAGGCAGGGCUAAGAGGGAGAGAAGCCAGGCAUUUCUCCAGAAGGAAAUGCCUGUAAGAGCAUCUGCGGCUGGAGGGGCCUAUGCCAUGCCCUGGGAGGUUGACUGGCAUAUGGCUGACCUGGCCUGCCCAAGCCACAUGCCUGCAAAGCGCUCCUCUCCUGGUGCCAGGCCCACAGGGAAGCCAGUAAUCCGGACAUUCUGAUGCUACUCUGGGCAGCCCCAAGGCCUGUCUGGCUUCCUGCCUGGGAAGCAGCCCAGUGCCCUGGAAGAGCAGCCAGAGAGAGCAUGCUGAAGUGGGACCUCAGUCAGGGGCUGCCUCUUCUAAGCCUGUUUCCUCAUGUGUAAAUAAAAAUUCAUCACAUAAAUGUGAGGUCACCGGAGCCACAUCAAGGAGAGUGGUGGAGAUGGUUGGUUCCUUCUCACUGUGUGCACGGAACAUGCUUUGCAUCAGCCGCUGCAGAGGGAAGUAGCCCCAUCGACUUCCAGAGGCCCCACUAGAAACCAGUCCACCUCCUUCUUCCAUGUGCCUUACACACGCCUGGCCUCAGCGCUCCCCUCUGUGUGCUGUUCAUCCCCUCCCACCAGACCAAGGUGGCCUUCAUGUGACUCCAGGACUUCUCAAGCCAACUCAGUACCUAGAGUAGUGCCUGGCAAACGGGAGGUGGUGCCUGCACAAAUCAAAGACCUCUUUAGGCCCAAAGAUCCUACACUUCCACAGCAACCGGCUCUCUAAGCCCUUGGCAGGUGAGCAGUUGCUCAACCCACGCUGGCUCCCCACCCAUGGGAGCCCACGCAUCCCUGCUAGAACCGGAGCAGAGUCCUUUAGUCCACCUCCUGGUUGAAGGGCGUCCUCUGGGCAAGAAGAGGAACCACACAAGGUUUACUGAGCACCUGCUCUCAUCUGGACAAGACAAUCCCUUGUUCACAGAGCCUUCCCAAAUACGUUAUCAACUAUGCUGUGGUAGAACCUAAGGAGAAAAAACAGUGCAAGAGUAUGAGGAAGGGGAUAAGCUUUAAACAGCAGCCGUUCACCUCGCUGAGGAGGCUGCGACGAAGCAAUGCCCUGAAAGGGGGAUGCGGGCGGGGUAUUCCAGGCAGGGGCAAAGCAGACGCAAAGGCUCUUUGGCAGGAUGGAACAGGGAGGUAGGUAAGGCCCUUGACUUCCACUUGGGGGGACAGGGAACCACGGAGAAGGGGCCUGGCCUGUCUUUACUGUGGUUGCCACGCUGCGAAGAGACUGGGGGGUGGGAGAGAGCGCAAGGGUGGAAGCAGAGAUCUUGGCUGGGAGACGGUGCUGGUGACUGGGCCACAGAGACAGCGGGGAGCUGGGAAGCGGUCAGCCGUGGGACACGUGGGAGGCGCAGGCGGCAGGACGCGCAGGCCUUGGAGCCCGGGCAGCAGCCGGAACGCGGAGCCCCGGGCCAGGUGGCUCCAGACCGCGCACACGCCCGCCAGCCGCUUCGAGUCCUCCAUGUCCCGCUUCACCGGCCACCCGGCCCAUGGGUGCCGCCGCGGACAGAGACUCCCACCCGCAGUCUGCGCGGGGCGAACAGGACGCAACCGAGGCCCUCAGAGGCCAGGCCCCGCCCUCAUGCCCCCUGCACCUGACACCGAGGAAGCCCCAGAGGAGGACUCUCGCGAGAUGUCUCAAACCUCUUCGCUCUCAGGGCUUCCCCAAUCGGCAAGCGGCUGGCUGAGUUGCCACGACAACCCGGACCUGCGUCUUUAUGGUCGCGUUGGCCUUGGCACCCCAGCAAGAAAAUGAAAAAAGAAAAAAGAAAGCAAGAAUACCAGUAGAAAUAGUGCAUUUCCAGAACUGCUGAUGGGAGGUGGCAGGUCCCAUGGUUUUGACCCAUUUGAUACCCAAAAGGCUGCAGAUCAUAUGAAAAAUGUACAGCUUUGGUUAGCAAAUAAUGAAAAACCCACUGUGCACAGAAGCGAUAGAUUCCCGUCGUUGGCGGAAUAAAUUUACGUGCUGUUUGAAGAGACAAAACCACGACUCCUUCCAGCCACACGGUGGUGGCGCCGAGGUCACAGAGUCCUCCAUCCUCACGGCUUCUAACCAGGUUGGAAGUGACAUCCAAACCCUCGGCCCAUCCCCCAUCACCGAUCUGCUCCCAGACAAAGGGCCCACCCAGAGCAGCCUUUCGGGCCUCCUGGUCCCCAGCGCACCUUCAGAACAGGUGGGCCCUCGCUGGAGCUUGCUGCAAGGACUUCGGACCUCAUGCCAAGCCUCUCCCCUGCCCUCGCUGCCACAAGACACCCCUUGGUCUCAGGUCCCAGGGCUGGUGACAAAGAGAUCUUUGCGGUCUUACAAAAUAAACUGGGAAUCUACAAAAGGAAAAGAAAGCAUACAAAAUGUAUCUCUUUCUUCCAAAAUACAAGCUUUCAGUCCGACGUUUUGGUGGAGCCUGAAAGUGUUUCCAAGGGAGAUAUAGGUUGAGAUAAUUUAUAGGUUUGUCCUAUUCUUUCAUAAAAAUACUCUUGUUUGGUAAUAAACUUUGUCUUCUACAGUAAGAGAAAUAAUACUGUGUUAUCAAAAGCAAGAAGGCUUUACGAUUCAAGUGGGAUCGAAGCCCCCAGGCCCUGGGGCCCUCCGUGGCAGCUCUCCCACCCCAGACCCCCAGGGAGCUGUCGGACACCAGCUCGGCAAAAGCAACACUGUCUCAACAGUGCUUUUUUAUCUUCUUAUUUUAUAAAACGGCUUACCUGAGAGAGGCAUGUAUUAUUCAGUGCAAGAGGGAACAUCAAUCAGAUUAAGGAGUCAAUGGGAACUAUGUGGAUUAGAUUUGCUGCUCUGUCGUCUGCCUUUCUCGGGCCAGCAAAGUGCCAAGUAUGAACACAGUGAGGGAGCUGAGGACCUUGGCACAGACUCCAGUUAGGGCUAGGGCGAGAGCUAAAAGUCAGCUUCUGUCCCGGGCACCGUGGGUGCGUCAGGGGGCAGGGGAAGGAUGGGGAAGGGGCUGGGAGGCUGAAGGGUCGAAGGCAUAAGCAUCUGGGGUGUGCUCCGCCCUCUCUAGCUAGGGCAGAGGAUGGCUUGUGGUCCUGAACGGACAGCUCCCACCUUGCCACGAGGCGGCGGUGGUCUGGGGUCCGUGUCCGCAGGGGCAGGGGCUGGUGGCAGGUGCCAGCAGGAGCGCACUGGGCACAGGCGCUCUGGGCCCAGCCAAGAAUGGCUCCCAGGUGGCUGGAGUGAGGGUGGGGCUCGACCCAGUCUGGAAAGGUGAUUCCAAGCUCUCGUUCUCCCAACCACGGUAUCACUGGGGCUUGUUCUCAACCUACAUGUUAGAGUCGCUUCUUGGCGUGUUUGGGGUGGGGGGAGAGGGACACUGGCCUCUCUCAGCCCCCUCCAACAACCCUGGCUUACUUACCCAGACAUUUUCGGUAGCUACAUGGGUGGUCACAGAAUACUGGGUGGCACUCAGCACAUGACACAGAACUGGAAAAGUCCAUGCAGGCAGGGGAACACACGUUGGACCGAGGGAGCAAGGAACACGCCACCGCAAGGAACAUGCAAACGGAGAAGGUCCUUGCAGAUCCAAGGAUGCCACAACCCGACGGCGCUGAGGAAGCACAAUUAUCUAAGAAAAAGCCACAGUUGAACAAUGACACGCAGCAUGGCGCCACAUCUACACCCUCUCUGAAAGAGUGAUGCACUGCAGAGCAGCGACCGUACCGUGCAGACGCCCACGAGUACAGCGACACAGACACCGACACAGACACACACACAGAUGCAUUAGGGUUCUGACACGCCGCAGACCUGCACUGGAGGAGGCAGGUGCCCCGGAAGGAGCAGCAGG
rnacentral:lncRNA from 1 species